ensembl:lncRNA MIR9-3HG MIR9-3 host gene
CCAGAGUAGCUGGGACUACAGGCAUGUGCCACCACAGCCAGACUUUUAUAUUUAUUUUAUAAAAAUAAAAAAAUAUGUUUUAUUUUGUAGAGACAGGGUCUUUGUUGCCCAGGCUGGCCUCAAACUCCUGGCAUCAAGCGAUCCUCCCACCUGGGCCUCCCAAAGUGUUGAGAUUACAGCAUGAGCCACCACACCCAGACUAAAAGGCAGUUUGAUUUUACAAAUCAAAAUAGCAGUAAUCUAUGGAGAUUUACUUGUGAGAUUGGUAGGAAACAUCUUAAAUGUAAUCAAACAAUAACUUACAUCUUGAUGAAUUCACGUGUAGGUUUCUCUUCCUCAGAAGAAAUCAGAUGCUGUUCAGAGCACGAAGGCUAGAAUUUUACCCUGGUUCUCAUGCUACCUUGCACCCAGGUUGGAUCCUGAGUACAGUUUUUGGCAGGUGGGCCUGCAUAUAAGUUAGCAAUGGGGGAUACCCAGCUGCCUCUCUUCAUACAGCUGAGGUUUUGGGGAGUCAUUCUUAUAGCCCCUGGGUUGGGCCUAGUCCUGCAAAUGAAUUCACCAGCCCUAAAGCCCAAAUUGCAGCCUCUGUCAUUCACCUUCCAGGAGUGGAAAGGGCAGUAAGUUUCAUCUUAUUAUUAUUGCUAUUUUGGUGGUUUUGUUGAGGUUGGUGUGUGUAUGUUAGUAAGAUAAAGCUCUCAGAAAUUACAUAGCAUUUGUCAAGGAUAUAAGAGGGACUGUGCCACAUCUGGCUGUAUAGAAGGUGGUUCCAUAUCUUUAAAUAGAGCCCCAGGUCCUUAGCCACCAGAAAGGUUUUCAGGGGAAGUGUGCACCCUCAGCAGCUGCUGCUGGUGGGCAGGAUGGGCACGCAUGGAACAGGCUUUCCUCUGUGGCCAGGUGAGAAGCAGGUGGUGAGACACAGAGCAGUGCUGGGCUCUGCUUCUGAAGCCUCCAACCUUUCCUUCCCUAGGAAGCCCCAGAGAGAUUGGUGAGGGUGAUUUCCCAGGAAGACGCAGUGUGCUCUGACUUCUGUGACAGUGAGCAACGGGACCAGUGGAUGUCCAGAUGCUGGCAAUGAGUAGGCCUUCCCUACGCUGGGUGGCGUCCACACCCUCCGGCUUCCAUUGCCUGGGUCUCCUGGAGGUGGUUUGCUGGAUGAAUACCGCAUGCACAGAGGCUGGCCUUGGGUUUGAAUAUGGCAGCCAGUGGACAGCAUGUGCUUCAGUUAUGAGACUGCCCAGGAGAUGCUUCUUCCAAGGCAGAGCACGUGCAGAGUCCAGUGCUGGAGAGGCCGGGUGCGCAGUUGACCCAUUUCCAGUUCUGUUUUCCCUCUCAUGUUCCUCUGUCCCCAUCUAGGACAUGCUCUGGAGUCAGAAGACAGCGAAAAGAGAAGCAGAAGCCCCGGUGGCAAGAGUCUGAAGCAGGAAGGAUGACUGUAGCCUGUGGAUUGUACUGCAGUAGGAAACUGUCCUAGCAAGGCUCCACUUUGCCCCAGCUUCAAGCUGGAAAGGAGGAGAACAUGAAACAUUGCUUGAAGACAAUGGCCGAGACAGCAGGUCCCACCCUGCACAGCCACCAGCAUCUCUCCCCUCAGCCCUGUCUCCUCUUCUGCAGUUGGGAUCUGCACAUUUAAGCCUGAAAUUGUCCUGUGAAGUGAAGUAUGAUCGGACAGCCUCUUUUCAGCUUUUAUGACAAUGGAGACAGAGGAAUUGUGGCUCUUGCCAAGGUCACAGGAUUGGAAUACAGAGCCAAGCCACCCCAGGACAUGCAAGAGCCUCAGAAGGGAAAAAAGCCCAGCAGGAAGGGAGAACAAGUAGCCUCUGUCCUGAAGUUGUAACAGCCAGGGGCCAGGAUGGAGGAGGAGGACCCCAUAAUCUGCCCAUCUGGGACUUGGCAGGGGACCUGGGAAAAUGUACCCCAACCCAUCCCUUAAGGGCCUUUGUCUUUGGCCCAUUGGCCUAGCAUCUACUUCUUCACCGUGUCUGUUCUUGUCACACCUAGUCAGGUCUGUUUGGGUCUGAGGUGCAUGGAACAUUCUGGGUAGGCCUCCAGCAAACGGAAGCUCUUCACCGUGUUUCCAGCCUGGGACCAAGGGCAGCAUACUGGCAAAGUUGCCAAAGCAAGGGACUCCAGCCUCUUAGGAGUUAAUGACUCCCUCUCCCCAGCUGUCCUCCCCUUGGUGCUCCUCUUCCUCCCUCCUCCUGCUCACAGCAGGCAGGGCCUAGACCCGGGAGCCAUGCUGCUGUGCUGUUGCCAGGGGAGCACGGAGGCAGAUCUGAGCUAUGCAGGGAAAAGGCCCAGCCUGUCAAAGUGUCUGAGAUGAACCGCCGCCGUCCCUGUGCAGCUGGGCUCAGACGUGUCUCAGCUCUUGUUCUGUGCCUGAGAAUGGCGAAACCCAGUGAGGUUCAAGGGCAAACUCGCUAUUCAUUAGUCAGGGGUUCUUGACGUCCCGUCUCUCCCAGGGAUGAGUUCCCCCCUCCUCUUUCUCCCCCUCCUAUGACACAUUCCUGGGUGCCUUUGGUGAGGACUGCACACCCUCCUCCUGCCUAGCCCCCUCUCCAAAGGCCCCUGAAUAAACUCCCCCCAAGGAGACCAGGCAGGGCAGAGACAAUGGCUGCAGGAAAUCAUUCAGGCGGGACAUGCUGGCCUGCCCUCCACCCAGUCCCCCUGUGGGCCCCACUCCCUUCUGAUUCAGGGCACCCUUGGGCCCCCAGCCUAUACAGGCCUGGACAGGAAGAAACCACUGGGAACCACCCUAAGGACAACAUGCUAGUCCAGUGCCAUUCUUCGCUGGCUCUGUGGGUGCCUUUGUGGCCUGUACCGACUGGCUGGCUAAUUUUGUGGUUUCUGUACCAUCACAUGCCUAUUUUAAGACACUCUCCAGCACUGUCGGUUAGGGAGUGUAAAUUUUGCAAUAUUUUCUGAAAUGUGGCAAUAUCAAAAUGUAAAAGGCACACAUACUUGGUCACAAACAAAUGGCACUAUUUACUCUGUGGGCAUAUUUGUAAAAGUUGCCAAAGAAUUAUAUACAAGGAUGUUCAUCAGAGCAUUUCUUUUGAAGAGUAAAGAAAUGGACAUGAACCUGUGGUCCGUUCAUACGGUGGAAUACCUAUGCAGCUGUAAAAAUCAGUGUGGUAGAUCUCCGUAUAUGAGUUGAUGUGGAAGGUUGGCCAGUUCACAUGAUAAGGUGAAUAGAAUAAGUUACAGAACAGGCUGUAGAGUAUGAUCUUAUUUGUAGAUGUUUAAAACUGAGUCAUAAGUAUGCUUAUAUACAGAUCGUUUCUGGAAGUAUGUACUGGAAGUCUACCUCUGGGGAGUGGGGAUGGGGGAGUGCACUCUUCUAUACUGUUAUAUUUUCUUUUCAUGCUCCUAAGGUACUUUUAUUGGAAGAUGUAAAGCGGUUCAAUGUAAUAGGCUUAACUUCUGUCAACUAAGUUGGCGUGGGUGCUUUAAGAGGGUGGUAGUGAUGUUGCUGGAGAAAGUAUCCCACAGUCACUGGUGGCUUCAGCCACGGGCCAUUUUGGGGCCUAAUAAUCACAUAUCAUCAUGGUUGCUAGUGUUAAUCGAAAACCUACUAAGUGCCAGGCUUACUGUCUCUGGGUCUUGCUUACGUGGAUGUCAUUUUUCCAGUUGCACCAAAUCGAAAGAGGUUAAUUGGUUUGUUGGAGUUCCUUUGUAGGUGAAGGGCAGAGCCAGGAGCUUGGCUAGGGACAGGGGAGGUGAGUGGGGGAUGGUGGAUAGGUCUUGGCUCCCAGUUUCCUUCUGGGCAGACAUUGCCCCUCUGCCCUGAGGACCUGCUUGUUUGGGGGAAGAGGCCUUUAGAGGCACCAGGGUCAUGCCAGGUGUUGGACAUGGUGAACUGGGAAGUGCUCCCAUCUGGCCACAGCGCAGAAGUAUCACCGUGCUGGGGGAUGGGGAACAGGGCUGUGAAUGGGCCUAUUUGCAUAAGCAGCAUGUGUCUGGAGAGAAAGACAUCACAGAGCAGAAGAGUGCGGGUGCCCAGGAGUGCACUUGCCACCCCUACUUCAUCCCUGAAAGAGUAAAUGGCCUGGAAGGUGUCUCUGAGAGGUAAUGCCGCACACCACCCUCCCUGGGGGCAGGGUCAGGCUACACCUGCCUUAGGUCGGGGGCUGCAGCAGCCUGAGAGCUCUCAGUAGGGCCUCAGUAGCCUGGGAGGGAGCAGGGGCAGGGGGCAGGGAAAGAGGCGUAAUGGGGCUGUCCAGAGGGGCCUGGGAAACCUGGUCCCUGAGGCCUGGGCACAGCUACAAUCACUUCAAAUUGGCUGUGGGGCCAGUGGACUGGGAAGGAAAAAAGCAAUAAGAGUGACCAAGUGCAGAAGGCUGUCAGGUCCCAGGUCACAUGCCUUAGUGCAGUGACUCCUCAUCAUUUUAUGGGGUGUGGGUGUCGUUGGUACACCCAUUUUACAGAUGAGGACACCGAGGCCCAGAAAAGUUAAGUUACAUGUCCUAAGUCACACAGCUUGUAAGUGCCAGAACUGAGAUCAAAACCAAGUCUCUUUGACUUUAAAGUCUGUACUCUGACCCCAAAGAGAUCCUGUUUGGCCACUUAUAGGAGGUCCCUAAAGCUGCAGACUCCCCUUGCCGGCACCCACAUAUAGAGACAUUAACCCUUCCCCUGCAGGGUCACCUCAAAUAGUCUUUUAGCUGGGCUUCUCCUGCAAUUCCACCUAAUGCCAUCCCCUGGGUUUUGCCCAAACCUGAACUGGGCAGUGGGGUGAGAGGAGGGGUUUACAGGGUUACAGAGCCUCAUACAGAUAGGAGCCCAUGGCUGCUGGUCAUCUGCAUUCCUGCAGGAUUGGCUGUUCCUUGGGGUCCUUGGCAGGAAAAUGAGGAUUGCUCCGAGGCCUGCUCCAGUACUUCCCAGAGGCUGGCCUGGUGUGGGGCUCUGGGAAGGCUGAGGCUGGAGAAGCGUAAGUAGGAGGGCAGAGAUGGCACUCAGGUAGCUUGAAUCACCAGGACCCUUCCAAGCCCCACAGGUUCUGAGGGAGUACUAGGGCCAGCUCUGGGAGAGGUCUCUUCCUAUGCUGUGAACCCCCUGCCUUUCUUGCAGCCUACAACGAAUAAAUUUUCUUUGCAA